UGGGAAUAUUGCACAAUGAGGAAACUUUUGAUGCAGCGACGCCGCGUGAGUGAAGAAGGUCUUCGGAUCGUAAAACUUCUUGUCCUUGGUGAAGAAAAAAAUGACGGUAGCCAAGGAGGAAGCCCCGGCUAACUACGGUGCCAGCAGCCGCGGUAAUACGUAGGGGGCGAGCGUUGUCCGGAUUUACUGGGCGUAAAGGGUGAGUAGGCGGUUAUAUGUGUCAGAUGUAAAAGGCUAUGGCUUAACCAUGGUUCGCAUUUGAAACUGUAUGACUUGAGUGCAGGAGAGGUAAGUGGAAUUCCUAGUGUAGCGGUGAAAUGCGUAGAUAUUAGGAGGAACACCAGUGGCGAAGGCGACUUACUGGACUGUAACUGACGCUGAGUCACGAAAGCGUGGGUAGCAAACAGGAUUAGAUACCCUGGUAGUCCACGCUGUAAACGAUGAGUGCUAGGUGUUGGCCAGCGAUGGUCAGUGCCGAAGUUAACACAAUAAGCACUCCGCCUGGGGAGUACGGU
rnacentral:rRNA from 1 species